AAACUUUACAAUGCGGGCAACCGCGAUAAGGGGACCUCGAGUGCUGGGUUACAAACCUGGCUGUUGGGCUGCCUAAAAAGCAGUCUAUAGCAAGGGCCGGGCAAGACCGGUGCCAGCCGCCGCGGUAACACCGGCGGCUCGAGUGGUAACCGCUAUUAUUGGGUCUAAAGGGUCUGUAGCCGGCCGACUAAGUCUCUUGGGAAAUCUGGCAUCUCAAGUGUCAGGCUGCCAGGGGAUACUGGUCGGCUUGGGACCGGGAGAGGUGAGAGGUACCUCGGGGGUAGGGGUGAAAUCUUGUAAUCCUCGAGGGACCACCAGUGGCGAAGGCGUCUCACCAGAACGGAUCCGACGGCAAGGGACGAAAGCUAGGGGCACGAACCGG
rnacentral:rRNA from 1 species